rnacentral:tRNA from 2 species
GGGUAGGUGGCCGAGUGGCUAAAGGCGGCAGACUGUAAAUCUGUUCUCGUAAGGGUACGAUGGUUCGAAUCCAUCCCUGCCCACCA